GACGAACGCUGGCGGCGUGCCUAACACAUGCAAGUCGAGCGGAGAUUAUAGCAAUAUGAUCUUAGCGGCGGACGGGUGAGUAACGCGUGGGUAACCUGCCUUGAACUGGGGGAUAACACUGGGAAACUAGUGCUAAUACCGCAUAAUGUAGUGAUGUGGCAUCACAUUACUAUCAAAGGAGCAAUCCGGUACAAGAUGGACCCGCGUCCGAUUAGCUAGUUGGUGAGGUAAUGGCUCACCAAGGCGACGAUCGGUAGCCGAACUGAGAGGUUGAUCGGCCACAUUGGGACUGAGACACGGCCCAGACUCCUACGGGAGGCAG
rnacentral:rRNA from 1 species